rnacentral:rRNA from 1 species
CGCGAAGAACCUUACCAAGUCUUGACAUACUGUGAGGACACAAGAGAUUGUGUUGUUCUGACCUUUGGUUAGACACAGAUACAGGUGGUGCAUGGUUGUCGUCAGCUCGUGUCGUGAGAUGUUGGGUUAAGUCCCGCAACGAGCGCAACCCUUAUAUCUAGUUGCCAGCAGUAAGAUGGGGACUCUAGAUAGACUGCCAGUGAUAAACUGGAGGAAGGUGGGGAUGACGUCAAAUCAUCAUGCCCCUUAUGACUUGGGCUACACACGUGCUACAAUGGAUAGGAACAAAGAGAAGCGAGCUCGCGAGAGUAAGCAAACCUCACAAAACUAUUCUCAGUUCGGAUUGUAGUCUGCAACUCGACUACAUGAAGCUGGAAUCGCUAGUAAUCGCGAAUCAGAAUGUCGCGGUGAAUACGUUCCCGGGUCUUGUACACACCGA